GCCUGGAUGGUCUAGUGGUAUGAUUCGCCCUUAGGGACCCCGAAUUGGACCUUGAAUUUGAAAUUGGGCGAGGCCCCCAGUUCGAUCCUGGGUCCAGGCC